GCGGGUGUAGCUCAGCUGGUUAGAGUGCCGGCCUGUCACGCCGGAGGUCGCGGGUUCGAGCCCCGUCACUCGCGCCA
rnacentral:tRNA from 32 species